UAACCCACCAAGACAUGGCUGGUGCAAAAGUUGGUAUUAUCACUCUCCUCUUUUGCGCAACAAUCCUACUGGGAUGGAAGCCGGAACAUGCAAGUGCAAAAGUAUGCCCACUCGUCUGCUUCAAAGCAGCUUACAUGAUUUGCCCACAUCCACCUCACAAGAAACUUCGGCCCGUCUGCAACUGUUGCUUGGCUAAACCACACUGCAAGCUUUAUCGUCAUGAUGGGACUGUGAUUUGUACUGCAACCGGAUGAGCCUUCGACAGUCAAUGGACACAAGAACCUCUUCAAAUUGGCUGCAAGCUUGUGACAAUUAGUAGUGUUUCAAUAAAUUGGGGCCGUUUGGGAGUUAAUUAUUUCAUGUACUGUUCUGUUAAAUAUAAAUAAAAAAAUGUUAAAUUUCUUC